rnacentral:rRNA from 1 species
GACGAACGCUGGCGGCGUGCUUAACACAUGCAAGUCGAACGAAGUGGCGAAAGGGUGAGUAACGCGUAAUAAACAUGCCCUUCCGCGGGGGACAACAGUUGGAAACGACUGCUAAUACCGCAUACUGCAGGAGGGGAUUGCGUCUGAUUAGCUAGUUGGGGGGGUAAAGGCCCACCAAGGCGAUGCCCAGUAGCCGGUCGGAGAGGAUGAACUGCAACAUGGGGACUGAGACACGGCCCAGACUCCUACGGGAGGCAGCAGUGGGGAAUCUUCCGCAAUGGACGAAAGUCUGACGGAGCAACGCCGCGUGAGUGAUGACGGCCUUCGGGUUGUAAAGCUCUGUUAAUCGGGACGCGGUACCGGAAUAGAAAGCCACGGCUAACUACGUGCCAGCAGCCGCGGUAAUUC